GCAUCGACACUUGAGUCGAUGGGAACCCUCGAUCUCCCCCCUCACCUUGUUGCUUCCUCUCCUCCCCCGACGCCGCCGAUUCCCCAAUUCUGGCUCCGGCAGCGAGCAGCUGGCUGCGGACGCGCCGUCAAAACUCCAGGAGGAUCUGGAUCUCCGAUGUACUCUCCGCGGCAUGCCGGCAUCGGCGGCGCGAAGAUUCAGCACCGGCUUAGAUCGACGGCGCCCUUCGCCGCCGGCUUCCGUGGAGACCAGCCAAUUGUCUGAAGAUGUCAAUAUCGGGAUUCCAAAUGAAGCAAUAAGAUCAGCCAUGUGCAGCUUUGGCUGCGCCGACAACCUCUGAGACUGAGCUGAGCUCUUCUAGGCAUGGAUGAAGUAUCCAACAUUUUGAAGAGUCUUUUUUGUGCUCAGGGCAUUCAUAGUGCAAUCAAUCAUGAGGACAUAAUGCAUGCUAACGAUUACCAGAAGCUGCGCCUAGAAGAAGCAGAAGCUUCACAGGCGGCAUAAAGGGAAGCUGAAGCUUUAAGGUUUUAUGCCUAUCAUGGAUACUUAGAAGUUGUAACAAUUUUUCUGUUGCUACAUGGACUGGAUCAUUGGACGAGCUGGUGCAGUGGUGCUGUGGGAACACCGUUCUGUUUUCAGAUGGGUGCUCUAAAUGGCAAAGCAACUGUCCCCUGCUGAACUGUUUUAAGAACUACUAGGAAGAUACUUGUUCAUCCUGAAGUCCUGAUCUGCCAAUCUACACCUUCAUACAACUGCAUGGUGGUUCAGUCAGCUCAAUGAGCGUAACUGAACAUUUGAAGAGCUUUUUGUUUUUUUAACAAGAACCACAAUCUAUCCAUAAUCCAUGGAUAUGCUGCUGUUUGAGAACCUGCUGUCAUAUUGGCUGAAAACCGUUCCGGAUUAAGUAAAGGGGGUGAUUCGUCCGGAUUUACAAGUUCA